UACGAAGGGGGCUAGCGUUGCUCGGAAUUACUGGGCGUAAAGGGUGCGUAGGUGGGCAAGUAAGUCAGUGGUGAAAUCUCCGGGCUUAACCCGGAAACUGCCAUUGAUACUAUUUGUCUUGAAUACUGUGGAGGUCAGCGGAAUAUGUCAUGUAGCGGUGAAAUGCUUAGAUAUGACAUAGAACGCCAAAUGCGAAAGCAGCUGGCUACGCAAAUAUUGACACUGAGACACGAAAGCGUGGGGAUCAAACGGG
rnacentral:rRNA from 1 species